rnacentral:rRNA from 1 species
UGGCAGACGGGUGAGUAACAUGUGGGUAUCUACCCUUUGGCCUGGAAUAACACGAGGAAACUUGUGCUAAUACCGGAUAAGUCUUUACGGAGAAAGCUUUAUGCACCAUUGGAUGAGCCCGCACUUGAUUAGUUUGUCGGUAGGGUAAUGGCCUACCAAGACUAUGAUCAAUAGCUGAUUUGAGAGGAUGAUCAGCCACAUUGGGACUGAGACACGGCCCAAACUCCUACGGGAGGCAGCAGUGGGGAAUCUUGCACAAUGGAGGAAACUCUGGUGCAGCGAUGCCGCGUGAGUGAAGAAGGCCUUUGGGUUGUAAAGCUCUUUCGUCGGGGAAGAAAAUGACUGUACCCGAAUAAGAAGGUCCGGCUAACUUCGUGCCAGCAGCCGCGGUAAUACGAAGGGACCUAGCGUAGUUCGGAAUUACUGGGCUUAAAGAGUUCGUAGGUGGUUGAAAAAGUUGGUGGUGAAAUCCCAGAGCUUAACUCUGGAACUGCCAUCAAAACUUUUCAGCUAGAGUAUGAUAGAGGAAAGCA